AGGCAGCCGGGCAUGCUCAGUACUGGCGGGGGGAAAUCUGGGUGGAGAGUAGAAAGCUGUGGCUCCCUCUCUAGCCCCCGCCCCCUAGCCCCCACCCAGCCGUAGUAGUUCCCCAGCCUGCGCCGGGGACAGCAGGAACAUGGCGCUUGGAGCGAUGUAGCAAGCGAGGAGAAGGGAUGAGGUUCCUCUGCCUCACUGACAGCCAGCUACUAGAAAUACACUGCGGUGAAUUCUGCCUCUUGCCAAAAUGAACACUGAGGAAAAAUGAAGAAAACUGAAGAACUCCAAUGAAAAAAUACAGAACAGAAAUAGCAAGCCUUCUCUGGAGUCUUUAAUUUAUCUACAGCCAUUGUAAAAAAGGAUUUUUCAUCAUGUUUGGGAAGAAAAAGAAAAAGAUUGAAAUAUCUGGCCCAUCCAACUUUGAGCACAGGGUUCAUACUGGGUUCGAUCCACAAGAGCAGAAAUUCACUGGCCUUCCGCAGCAGUGGCACAGCCUAUUAGCAGAUACAGCCAAUAGGCCAAAGCCCAUGGUGGACCCUUCAUGCAUCACACCCAUACAGCUGGCUCCCAUGAAGACAAUCGUGCGAGGACACAAGCCCUGCCAGGAGAGCUCCAUCAACGGGCUGCUGGAGGACU